rnacentral:lncRNA from 1 species
CCUGACAUCAGUGCGCAGAGGGCGUGCCUUGGGCAUACGGGAGGACAUGAGUGUAACGCACUGUAGUGUGAACUCCAACUCUUCCCACCCAGGGUUCUCCCCCCUUUUUCCAAAUGAGAUAAUCAAACAACGACGAUUCAUCUCUGGGCUUAUGGUGGGGCCCCCUUGUGUGCUCCUGAGGAUGUCCUGGGACUCGGUCCUGAUUUGCCCCAGCUCUCAGCUCCCUCUGCAGCAGGACUGGGUGCAGGGGCGGUGGGCAUGAUGCGGCGGGGCACCAGCCUGCAGAGCCGCCGCAGUAAGGCCUGCAUCAGCUCUGGGAAUGGAGACAAGGAUCCACUGCUAAGAGGAAGUCCCCAGGCUCCCAUGAGGCGGCACACCCACGACCCUCAGCACCAUGUGAGCAGGCCCAGGUCCUCCUCUGCCAACACCGAGAGCGCCCCUGCAGUCCAGCACCCGCCACUGCCACCUAUGAUGUGCUGCUGUCGUCAGGAUAUCAGUCCACAGAGGAGUCAGACCGGGAUGUCCUGAGUCACGACUGAGACUGGAGUGACAGAAGCUCCUGGAAGCCACACGGAGCAGGACAGGACCUUGGGGCCCUGACUGACUCAGUGACGGGAGGAAUCUCUGUCAUGCAUUUACUUUAGAACCAGCCAAACCUGUGAUCCUUUAAUAACAAUAAACCACGUGACCAUAUCAGGAAAGUCCCUUAAGCCAUAUUUGAUGUUGUUUUGAACAGUACAUGCUAU